rnacentral:rRNA from 1 species
GACGAACGCUGGCGGCGUGCUUAGCACAUGCAAGUCGAGUGAGGUGCUUGCACCUAGCGGCGAACGGGUGAGUAACACGUGAGCAACCUGCCCUUGGCUCUGGGAUAGCCUCCGGAAACGGGGAUUAAUACCGGACAUGACCUGCUCCUGCAUGGGAGCGGGUGGAAAGUUUUUCGGCCAGGGAUGGGCUCGCGGCCUAU